UGACACGUAGGCACCAAGCGUUGUCCGGAUUUAUUGGGCGUAAAGAGCUCGUAGGCGGUUCGGUAAGUCGGGUGUGAAAACUCGGGGCUUAACCCCGAGCCUGCAUCCGAUACUGCUGUGACUAGAGUUCGGUAGGGGAGUGGGGAAUUCCUAGUGUAGCGGUGAAAUGCGCAGAUAUUAGGAGGAACACCGGUGGCGAAGGCGCCACUCUGGGCCGAUACUGACGCUGAGGAGCGAAAGCGUGGGUAGCAAACAGG
rnacentral:rRNA from 1 species